GGACAGGUGCCCGAGAGGCCGAAGGGGACGGUUUGCUAAACCGUUGUAUGGGUAAUUACCUGUACCGAGGGUUCGAAUCCCUCCCUGUCCG
rnacentral:tRNA from 1 species